AAACUACAAGGGGAGCCGAAGCUCCCCAAGAAGUAGUUGCGUGCUCUUAUUGUUUUUUUGCCGGGCUUCUUGUUUUUGUUGAGUGCCCUGCCCACAAAAAAAGCUGUGGGCGGUCUCCCUAACCGGGAUCAAGAGCAAACGGAUUGCUUUGGUCGCUGAGGUUGCAAUGAUCAUGCGAUCCAACCAGUUCAGGCCCUGCUUGAGUGCAGUU
rnacentral:misc_RNA from 1 species